UUUAGUUAGAUUGAUUAAAGUAUUUGACUUACGUAAGCAUUUGUUAUUAGAAAUUUUGUAAAACCGCUUUUGAACAAUUUAAAUAAUUAUGUCAGUUUUGAAUAUUUGUAACUGCUUUGAUAUGAUCCGAUGCCUUGCACGCCUGUGCGGCCCGCCGUGCGGGCGUGCGGCGUCUGCCGCGCCUCGGGCUCGGGGCGUGACAGAUUUGGUGGUAUCAGAGCUCAGGUUUUAGAUUCCUAGGGAUUGUGUUUGAAAUAAUUCUGAUGGAGCUUAAGUUUUAGGAUCUUUAGGAUUCGUCGGAAAGUUUGAGAGAUGGGUGGACAUUAGGCCAUUAGACGAAGAUAUUUAUUUGCUUUUGCUAUUGAUAAAUUUAUAUUAUUU
rnacentral:lncRNA from 1 species